rnacentral:rRNA from 1 species
AGAACGAACGCUGGCGGCAGGCUUAACACAUGCAAGUCGAGCGCUCGCAGCAAUGCGGGAGCGGCAGACGGGUGAGUAACGCGUGGGAACAUACCCUUCGGUUCGGAAUAGCUCAGGGAAACUUGAAUUAAUACCGGAUACGGCCAGAAGUGAAAAUUUCUGGCGAAAGAUUUAUCGCCGAAGGAUUGGCCCGCGUUCGAUUAGCUAGUUGGUGAGGUAACGGCUCACCAAGGCGACGAUCGAUAGCUGGUCUGAGAGGAUGAUCAGCCACAUUGGGACUGAGACACGGCCCAAACUCCUACGGGAGGCAGCAGUGGGGAAUAUUGGACAAUGGGCGCAAGCCUGAUCCAGCCAUGCCGCGUGAGUGAUGACGGCCUUAGGGUUGUAAAGCUCUUUCGCUAGGGACGAUAAUGACGGUACUAGACAAGACGCCCGGCUAACGUUCGUGCCAGCAGCCGCGGUAA